rnacentral:lncRNA from 1 species
CGGCCCCGCCGCCUGCUCGAGAUCUGCAGUGGCUGCCGGGUGCGGAGCGCCGGCCGGGGGUGGGCUCUCCAGGGCUGCUAGGCCCCUGCCCUCACCUGCGGCCGCCCGGCCCCGCCCUAGGUGUGCCGUCAAUGGAUCAUGAAGAUGGAGGUGGUGGCUCAUGCCUGUUAAUCCCCACACUAUGAGAGGCUGAGGCAGGAGGAUCACUUGGGGCCAGUAGUUUGAGACCAGCCUGGGCAACAUGGCAAGACUCCAUCUCUACAAAAAAAUGCAAAAAGAAAUCAGUGGACCAUGUAUGUACACAUCUAUUUUGGAUUCAUGCCUGUAAGAUACUGAGCGUCGACCAGGCGCAGUGGCUCACAACUGUAAUCCCAGCACUUUGGGAGGCUGAGAUGGGUGGAUCACCUGAGCUCGGGAGUUCGAGACCAGCCUGAACAACAUGGAGAAACCCCAUCUCUACUAAAAAUACAAAAUUAGCUGGGCAUGGUGGCGCAUGCCUGUAAUCCCAGCUACUCGGGAGGCUGAGGCAGGAGAAUCGCUUGAACCUGGGAGGCAGGAAUUGCAGUGAGCUGAGAUUGAGCCAUUGCACUCCAACCUGGACAACAAGAGUGAAACUCCGUCUCAAAAAAAAUAAAAUAAAUAAAAGAUACUGAGCAUCUUUUGAUCUAUAUGUCUUUA